rnacentral:rRNA from 1 species
AAGUGAGAAUGCCGGUAUGAGUAGCGAAAGACGGGUGAGAAUCCCGUCCACCGAAUGCCUAAGGUUUCCUGAGGAAGGCUCGUCCGCUCAGGGUUAGUCAGGACCUAAGCCGAGGCCGACAGGCGUAGGCGAUGGACAACAGGUUGAUAUUCCUGUACCACCUCUUUAUCGUUUGAGCAAUGGAGGGACGCAGAAGGAUAGAAGAAGCGUGCGAUUGGUUGUGCACGUCCAAGCAGUUAGGCUGAUAAGUAGGCAAAUCCGCUUAUCGUGAAGGCUGAGCUGUGAUGGGGAAGCUCCUUAUGGAGCGAAGUCUUUGAUUCCCCGCUGCCAAGAAAAGCUUCUAGCGAGAUAAAAGGUGCCUGUACCGCAAACCGACACAGGUAGGCGAGGAGAGAAUCCUAAGGUGUGCGAGAGAACUCUGGUUAAGGAACUCGGCAAAAUGACCCCGUAACUUCGGGAGAAGGGGUGCUUUCUUAACGGAAAGCCGCAGUGAAUAGGCCCAAGCGACUGUUUAGCAAAAACACAGCUCUCUGCGAAGCCGUAAGGCGAAGUAUAGGGGGUGACACCUGCCCGGUGCUGGAAGGUUAAGGAGAGGGGUUAGCGUAAGCGAAGCUCUGAACUGAAGCCCCAGUAAACGGCGGCCGUAACUAUAACGGUCCUAAGGUAGCGAAAUUCCUUGUCGGGUAAGUUCCGACCCGCACGAAAGGUGUAACGAUUUGGGCACUGUCUCAACCAGAGACUCGGUGAAAUUAUAGUACCUGUGAAGAUGCAGGUUACCCGCGACAGGACGGAAAGACCCCGUGGAGCUUUACUGUAGCCUGAUAUUGAAUUUUGGUACAGUUUGUACAGGAUAGGCGGGAGCCAUUGAAACCGGAGCGCUAGCUUCGGUGGAGGCGCUGGUGGGAUACCGCCCUGACUGUAUUGAAAUUCUAACCUACGGGUCUUAUCGACCCGGGAGACAGUGUCAGGUGGGCAGUUUGACUGGGGCGGUCGCCUCCUAAAGUGUAACGGAGGCGCCCAAAGGUUCCCUCAGAAUGGUUGGAAAUCAUUCGUAGAGUGCAAAGGCAUAAGGGAGCUUGACUGCGAGACCUACAAGUCGAGCAGGGACGAAAGUCGGGCUUAGUGAUCCGGUGGUUCCGCAUGGAAGGGCCAUCGCUCAACGGAUAAAAGCUACCCCGGGGAUAACAGGCUUAUCUCCCCCAAGAGUCCACAUCGACGGGGAGGUUUGGCACCUCGAUGUCGGCUCAUCGCAUCCUGGGGCUGUAGUCGGUCCCAAGGGUUGGGCUGUUCGCCCAUUAAAGCGGUACGCGAGCUGGGUUCAGAACGUCGUGAGACAGUUCGGUCCCUAUCCGUCGUGGGCGUAGGAAAUUUGAGAGGAGCUGUCCUUAGUACGAGAGGACCGGGAUGGACGCACCGCUGGUGUACCAGUUGUUCUGCCAAGGGCAUAGCUGGGUAGCUAUGUGCGGAAGGGAUAAGUGCUGAAAGCAUCUAAGCAUGAAGCCCCCCUCAAGAUGAGAUUUCCCAUAGCGUAAGCUAGUAAGAUCCCUGAAAGAUGAUCAGGUUGAUAGGUUCGAGGUGGAAGCAUGGUGACAUGUGGAGCUGACGAAUACUAAUAGAUCG